GAUGAACGCUGGCGGCGUGCCUAAUACAUGCAAGUCGAGCGAACAGACGAGGAGCUUGCUCCUCUGACGUUAGCGGCGGACGGGUGAGUAACACGUGGAUAACCUACCUAUAAGACUGGGAUAACUUCGGGAAACCGGAGCUAAUACCGGAUAAUAUAUUGAACCGCAUGGUUCAAUAGUGAAAGACGGUUUUGCUGUCACUUAUAGAUGGAUCCGCGCCGCAUUAGCUAGUUGGUAAGGUAACGGCUUACCAAGGCGACGAUGCGUAGCCGACCUGAGAGGGUGAUCGGCCACACUGGAACUGAGACACGGUCCAGACUCCUACGGGAGGCAGCAGUAGGGAAUCUUCCGCAAUGGGCGAAAGCCUGACGGAGCAACGCCGCGUGAGUGAUGAAGGUCUUCGGAUCGGAAAACUCUGUUAUUAGGGAAGAACAAAUGUGUAAGUAACUAUGCACGUCUUGACGGUACCUAAUCAGAAGGCCACGGCUAACUACG
rnacentral:rRNA from 1 species